rnacentral:tRNA from 1 species
AAUAGCUCAGUCGGUAGAGCAUUCGGCUGUUAACCGAAGUGUCGUAGGUUCAAGUCCUACUU